rnacentral:rRNA from 1 species
UACCUGCGGGCACAGAGAAAAGGAAAAGUAAAGGGGGAAAAGCUUUCCCCCCGUCUCUCCCUCGCUUUCCUCCUCCGCGAGCUCGCCGCCUCCCCUGCUCCGCUAAAAUCAGACCAAGUACCGCCACCGCUCUAGGGAGAGAGGAGCUCGAACUCUCAAGAGGGGCUAAGCAACCCAACAGGGCAACUACUACUUCUCAAACUAUUUCGUGAAAUGUUAAAGAUACACUUAUUAUUUCAGUUCAUGGACUUCUCUUUUAAUAGUAGACGACCGUCUUCCUUACAAAACUUUUCCUUUAAGUAGGGGAAUUGAGACUGGGGAUACAAGGAGUUCAUUUAGCAAUAAGCCAAAGACGAGUUCUUUCCACAGUGGUAGAACGGUACUAAGUCUAACGUUCAGUAGUCUUACAAGUUUCGGGCACAUCUGUUAAAGAACUAGAACACGCACACAGCAAUAGAUAAGUUACUUCGAGUGGGAAGGUAAAGAUUCUUCGUAAAGAAGAAGAGUAUAUAACAACUUUGCUAAAACUUACCAAGAUUAGUUCUCACACAACGAUUACGAAAGUUGUCACGAUUAUCACGAAAAGGGUACACCUCUUCGUUAUACCACCAGAUCGCACUUCUAAAAGAACCACCAGUUGUUCUGACCUCUAAGUAGGUAGGAAAUAAUCGAAGCAUAUCAAAAGUACUACACAAUCGAUAAAACUAUGUUGUCAUAAUAACCAGGUUCUUACAAGACUAAGUUACAUGAAAAAUCUGGCUAUUGAACAUAGUAGCGGGGACAUUGUCAAAAUCCAAGGAAAACAAUGACCUUACGAAAAGA